GUUUCUCCAUUGGAAUCGAUUGUAAAUAAACAAAUGGUGUAGAUAACAGAAUUAAGUCCAGCCGCGGCUGGACAUAAACUAUGUGUUGUUUACCUGGAGAACCAGGAAUUGCACCCGGUGUUUUGAUGAGUGUUUGUUGUGAUCAAUGAUGUUCCAUUUCGUGAUAGUGAUGCUGAGAUAGCCCGAUUGAUUUGUCCACUAUGAUGUGUCGCGAAUUUCCUUGCGGUGUAUGGAUUAUCCUCCGAUGUGAAUUGUUGACUAUUGUGAGGUUUGGUGUUAUGAUGGCGAUGAAUAAUUGUUUCCUUCCAGCCGUAACGAUGGCGUUGGCCUUAAAAUUAUAUGCAGUACAAUCAUUCAUCAUAAACAAAUCGGAGAUAAGUAUUCGUUUUUUUUUACAUCAUUACAUCAGUCACCUCGGUCGGGAAACUAUUUUCAUAUUCCCGCCAAGGAUAAACAUCAGUUAUAUUUUAUACAUUACAACACUAUUGACCUUUCCAAAAACCAUCCAAGCUAUGGGAUUGAAGGUAACGGCGAGUUUGUCGCUAAGAUUGGAAUCUUUCUUCAACACAUCAUCGACCGUAAAAAACUUAAGGGACACGAGAGAACAAAAUACGGAUGAAACGUGCUAAUUCUACCGUCACUCUGCUAAUCAGCUGCUAAUCAGCUAAUGCAAAUCAGAGCGAUGCAGCAGGAAGAGGAACGGGAACUUGCUUUGGAAAUGCUCAUCAAAUUGAGGUGGUUGAGGCUGCGAUUAAAAUUUGCCUCUUGUACGCAGUUUAUAGAAUGAUUCCAACGAGAAUUAUUGAUGUUGUUUAUAGAAUAAGUUAUUAGUAUAAUGCUAGGUAGUGCGGACUGAAUCAAAACGGCUGUCAAAAAAGAUCCAAUUGAAAUGUCAAAAGAGAUCCAACGAUCAGGAGUGUUAUUUUUCUUAUGAUAAUCAACACUAUAAAAGAGGUAUUGUUGUCAGGGGCAAAAAAAAAAUAAAAUAACAAAAUGAACGAACUACAUUUUUCCGUUAAUUGUAUGAUUAACCAUUGUAUCUCUGAAAGAGCAUCUCAGCCUUUCACUGAGCUACGCCUUUUUAAUGUCCCCUCUCUUUGACAUAACGUUUUUCCGAACGAAAUAAAAACAAACGAAGUCAGAGUCACGUAAAUGUUUACUCCUGCGAUUUGAAAAUAUUCGAUAAAAAGUGGAAGGAAGAGAUGCCAGAUUAUUUUUAAAAAAAGUCUGUAAAAACAUGUGAAUGUCUGUUAAAAAUGUGGAAAAGUCUGUAAAAGUGUGCAGAUCUAUAGAAAUGUCUUUUAACGUUAAUUUUCACAUAUUCAUGAAUACUUUGUACAUCGUGAUGCACGUAAGAUUGUAUUUUGUUCUCAGAUCUUCGUCAAAAGUGGUAAUAUUAUUCUUUAUCGCAAAACAUUAGACUCGUAUUUUUUUAUUUUUUCAUUGGGGUGCCCAUUUCCAUUUUAGGGUGAUCCAAAAAAUCAUUAUUUUUUUCCACUUUUUCCUAAAAUGACUUUUUUCUAAAAUUUAUAACUUUCGAACCACUUAACCGAUUUAGAUGAUCGACAUAUCAAAUUGAAGCCAAUGAGCUUUAAUUGAGAAAUAUUGAACUUGCAGAUAAUAUGGAUCCUAUUUUCGUAAUUAUUGAUUGUAGUCGUUUUUUAAUGUUUUCAUGGCUUUGGACUAGGGGCGCUAUAUUUUUUUAUAUUUUUUCUUGGAAGCUGAGAAUUUGUUACAUAAAAUAUCUCGAUAUCAGAGAUGCAAUUUUUUUCGUUUUUGAAAUAUGAUUUUUCAAAACUAAUCGAUGUUUCGAAAAACAAAUUUUCCCCAUUUUUCCCACUACAAAAACAUAACUCUUGAACUAUUGGACCGACUCAUAUCAUCGACAUAUCAAAUUGAAGCUUACGAGCUAUUUUUCUUUGGAAAAAUGUUACUUUUGCGAAAAAAAUUAAUUCUUGUUUUUGUAAUUAUUGAUUGAUUUAUUUUUUCAUAGUUUUCUCGUUUAAAGAUAGGAGCGCUAUAUUUUUUUUAUAUUUUUUAUGGAAAGCUGAGGAUUAUUUACCUAACAUAUCUCGAUAUCAGAGAUGUUAUAAUUAUCGUUUUUAAGUUAUAAAUUUGUAAAUUUAACAUGUUUUAAGUCUUCGAUCAAUAUUCAUAUGUGACUAAACUAGAACUAUGCUACUAGAAUCCUUCCCGCAAGUGUGAUAUUUUUUCAAAUUUUGCUUAUUGGCUUCAAUUUAAUACAUCGAUCAUCAAAACCGGUUCAGUAGUUCAAAUGUUAUGAUUUUUUGCAGAAAGUAAUUGGACAAAGGGGGAAAAAUGAUUUUUCGAACCACCAUUACUUUGAAACAUCAUAUCUAAAAAACAUAAAAAUAGCAUCUCUGAUAUCGAGAUAUGUUAUGCAAAAAUCCUCAGCUUUCAAGAAAAAAUAUAAAAAUAUAGCGCCCUCUAGUCCAAAGUCAUAAAAAAAAUAAAAAACGAC